rnacentral:rRNA from 1 species
UACAGAGGGGGCAAGCGUUAUUCGGAAUUAUUGGGCGUAAAGGGCGCGUAGGCGGCCUGGCAAGUGGAAGGUGAAAUCCCUCGGCUUAACCGAGGAACUGCCCUCCAAACUGCUUGGCUUGAGUCCGGGAGAGGUGAGUGGAAUUCCCAGUGUAGCGGUGAAAUGCGCAGAUAUCGGGAGGAACACCAAUGGCGAAGGCAGCUCGCUGGGACGUUACUGACGCUGAGACGCGAAAGCGUGGGGAGCAAACAGG